rnacentral:lncRNA from 1 species
AGCCAAUGGCAUCCCUGGAAAAUUGCUCUAAGACCUUCCCAGCUCUCUCCUGGCUGGGAUUGGAGGAGUUGCCCAGGUGAAGUCUGGAGCAGGACUCUGGGACUUUUUGUCCUCCAUGCCGCUCACCAGAAAAGGAACUGUGAACUGUAAGUAACUGUGAUUGGCAUUUUCCAUGCUGACUCAAUAAGGUUAUGGGUUAAAGACCAGCCCUGAACCUGAUCUUUAACAGCCAUGCAUUGUGCAAGAGAAACACUCAACAAUGAGCUAGUCAGAAUGUAAAAUACAGUGGAACUCUAAUUAGAUUACGUCUGAAUGUGACAAAGAAGCCCUGUAAUAUGACAUCCUAUUUAAUUAGACUUUAUUGAU